rnacentral:rRNA from 1 species
CAUGAAGCUGGAAUCGCUAGUAAUCGCGGAUCAGAAUGCCGCGGUGAAUACGUUCCCGGGUCUUGUACACACCGCCCGUCACACCAUGGGAGGUCGGUAACGCCCGAAGUCAGUGACCCAACCCUAAAGGAGGGGAGCUGCCGAAGGCGGGACUGGUAACUGGGGUGAAGUCGUAACAAGGUAAC